rnacentral:rRNA from 1 species
ACGGGAGGCAGCAGUGGGGAAUAUUGGACAAUGGGGGAAACCCUGAUCCAGCGACGCCGCGUGAGUGAAGAAGUAUUUCGGUAUGUAAAGCUCUAUCAGCAAGGAAGAAAAUGACGGUACCUGACUAAGAAGCACCGGCUAAAUACGUGCCAGCAGCCGCGGUAAUACGUAUGGUGCAAGCGUUAUCCGGAUUUACUGGGUGUAAAGGGAGCGUAGACGGAUGGCUAAGUCUGAUGUGAAAGGUGAGGGCUCAACCCUUAAACUGCAUUGGAAACUGGUCAUCUAGAGUGUCGGAGAGGUAAGUGGAAUUCCUAGUGUAGCGGUGAAAUGCGUAGAUAUUAGGAGGAACACCAGUGGCGAAGGCGGCUUACUGGACGAUAACUGACGUUGAGGCUCGAAAGCGUGGGGAGCAAACAGGAUUAGAUACCCUGGUA